rnacentral:rRNA from 1 species
GAAUUGACGGGGAGCACCACAACGGGUGGAGCUUGCGGUUUAAUUGGAUUCAACGCCGGAAAUCUUACCGGGACCGACAGCAAUAUGAAGGCCAGGCUGAAGACUUUGCCGGAUUAGCUGAGAGGUGGUGCAUGGCCGUCGUCAGUUCGUACUGUGAAGCAUCCUGUUAAGUCAGGCAACGAGCGAGACCCACGCCCACAGUUGCCAGCGUACUCUCUGGAGUGACGGGUACACUGUGGGACCGCCGCUGCUAAAGCGGAGGAAGGAAUGGGCAACGGUAGGUCAGUAUGCCCCGAAUAUCCCGGGCUACACGCGAGCUACAAUGGUUGGUACAAUGGGUAUCUACCCCGAAAGGGGACGGGAAUCUCCUAAAACCAAUCUUAGUUCGGAUUGAGGGCUGCAACUCGCCCUCAUGAAGCUGGAAUCCGUAGUAAUCGCGUUUCAACAGAACGCGGUGAAUACGUCCCUGCUCCUU